UUAACGGGUAUACCGGAUGGUAAAUAAAAUAAACACUUAUCUGUUCUAAUCAGUGUGAAAACUGGUUUCCGACGUUUUUCGUUGGUCUUUUUCACAUUCAUUUUUGGACAUCCUGUUGACGCUUAGCUUGCUGGGCGACAACGGGACGGUUUCCGGGGGCUUUCACCUUUCUCCCGCGAGGCCAACUACCU
rnacentral:snRNA from 1 species